UGAGGAAUAUUGCACAAUGGACGAAAGUCUGAUGCAGCAACGCCGCGUGGAGGAUGAAGGUCUUUGGAUUGUAAACUCCUUUUCUCAGGGAAGCGGUACCUGAGGAAUAAGUCACGGCUAACUACGUGCCAGCAGCCGCGGUGAUACGUAGGUGGCGAGCGUUAUCCGGAAUUACUGGGCGUAAAGCGCACGCAGGCGGUCUGUUAAGUUUGACGUGAAAGCUCCCGGCUUAACUGGGAGAGGUCGUUGAAGACUGGCAGACUUGAGGCAAUGAGAGGGGUGUAGAAUUCCCGGUGUAGUGGUGGAAUGCGUAGAUAUCGGGAGGAAUACCAGUGGCGAAAGCGGCACCCUAGCGUUGUACUGACGCUCAUGUGCGAAAGCGUGGGGAGCGAACGGGAUUAGAUACCCUGGUAGU
rnacentral:rRNA from 1 species